AUUGAACGCUGGCGGCAUGCUUUACACAUGCAAGUCGAACGGGGUGGUGGGGCAACCCGCCAUUCAGUGGCGAACGGGUGAGUAAUGCAUCGGAACGUGUCCCGUAGUGGGGGAUAACCCGGCGAAAGCCGGACUAAUACCGCAUAUGCUCUACGGAGGAAAGCGGGGGACCUGGAAAGGGCCUCGCGCUAUGGGAGCGGCCGAUGUCCGAUUAGCUUGUUGGUGGGGUAAUGGCCUACCAAGGCGACGAUCGGUAGCUGGUCUGAGAGGAUGAUCAGCCACACUGGGACUGAGACACGGUCCAGACUCCUACGGG
rnacentral:rRNA from 1 species